AAACCCUCUGUACACAACAGCACUGCUUCCUUUCACUCUCCACCAUCCCUCCCCUUGAUCCAUGAGCAAAUCUGAUCUAGGCAGCCCUUUGAGAUGGCAUUGGUAACCCAAGUGGAGGUCCGAUGUUACGUCAAGUUUUACUCACCAUAGGGUUAAAUUCACCCCUGGG